CCAAACUUGGUCAUUUAGAGGAAGUAAAAGUCGUAACAAGGUCUCCGUUGGUGAACCAGCGGAGGGAUCAUUACAGAGUUGUCACAAACUCCCAAACCCCUGUGAACCUACCACUGUUGCCUCGGCAGGUCCGAGCCCCCCUCCCCGGGGGGUUAGGAUCCAGCCUGCCGGCGGCCUACCAAACUCUGUUUGCUAUAGCUAUCUUCUGAACCUAUAACUAAAUACGUUAAAACUUUCAACAACGGAUCUCUUGGUUCUGGCAUCGAUGAAGAACGCAGC
rnacentral:misc_RNA from 1 species